rnacentral:rRNA from 1 species
UACGUAGGGGGCGAGCGUUGUCCGGAUUCAUUGGGCGUAAAGAGCUCGUAGGCGGCUUGCUAAGUCGGGUGUGAAACCUCCAGGCUCAACCUGGAGUCGCCACCCGAUACUGGUAUGGCUUGAGUCCGGUAGGGGACCACGGAAUUCCUGGUGUAGCGGUGAAAUGCGCAGAUAUCAGGAGGAACACCGGUGGCGAAGGCGGCUUCCUGGACCGACACUGACGCUGAGGCGCGAAAGCUAGGGGAGCAAACGGG